AUGAUUGAUACUGAGCACUGGUGACAUAUGAGUCACAUGGGUAGCUACAUGUCUGGAACUUAAGAUCUAA
rnacentral:snoRNA from 1 species